GACGAACGCUGGCGGCGUGCUUAACACAUGCAAGUCGAGCGAUAAAGAUCGGCUCUUGUGGCGAUCUGAAGUGCAGCACGCGGGUGUAUCACGUGUGUGAACUGCCCUUUACUUCGGGGUAACUUCUUGAAAAACGAGCGCUAACACCGUAUAACCACCUUCAGCAUAAUGUGGAAGUUAAAAAUGCGUCGGUUGAGGAUGGAAUCGCGGCUCAUCGGCUUGUUGGUGGGGUAGUGGCUUACCAGGGCUUUGACGGGUAGCCAGCCUGAGAGGGUGACAGGCCACAUUGGGACUGAGAUGCGGCCAAGACUCCUACGGGAGGAAUCAGUGGGGAACAUUGCAAAAUGGGCGGAAGCCUGAUGCAGCAACGCCGGGUCGGGGAUGACGGCUUUCGGGUUGUAACCCGCGUGCGCCUGGGAAGAAGCGUGAGUGACGGUAAUUGCUAAAGAAGCAACGGCUAACUACGUG
rnacentral:rRNA from 1 species